rnacentral:other from 1 species
CUUUCCCUGCUGUGUGCGUGGGUCACGGUGAGCUUGAGCCAACACCGUUGACAAGGGAGCCUGGGCUCCGUUGCGUGGCGUGCAGGCCUCCUGGUCGUACAGGAGGAAGCACAUAAGCCGCGGGAGGGCACCCACCUGCGAGAGCGGGUUCAACGUCCUCCGAGAUUCACGGCACGGCGGGGAUUUU